rnacentral:rRNA from 1 species
GAUGAACGCUGGCGGCGUGCUUAACACAUGCCAGUCGAACGGAAAGGCUCCUGCUUGCCGGGGUACUCGAGUGGCGAACGGGCGAGUAACACGUGGGUGAUCUGCCCUGCACUUCGGGAUAAGCCUGGGAAACUGGGUCUAAUACCGGAUAGGACCACAUUUUGGAUGGUGUGGUGGAAAGUUUUUCGGUGUGGGAUGAGCUCGCGGCCUAUCAGCUUGUUGGUGGGGUAAUGGCCUACCAAGGCGUCGACGGGUAGCCGGCCUGAGAGGGUGUACGGCCACAUUGGGACUGAGAUACGGCCCAGACUCCUACGGGAGGCAGCAGUGGGGAAUAUUGCACAAUGGGCGCAAGCCUGAUGCAGCGACGCCGCGUGGGGGAUGACGGCCUUCGGGUUGUAAACUCCUUUCGCUAGGGACGAAGCGCAAGUGACGGUACCUGGAGAAGAAGCACCGGCUAACUACGUG